rnacentral:rRNA from 1 species
AGCUCCAAUAGCGUAUAUUAAAGUUGUUGUGGUUAAAAAGCUCGUAGUUGGAUCUCAACAGACUUGGAUCGGUUUACUUUGUGUAAUACUGAUCCAAAGCUGUGCUUUUGUCGGAGGUUUAGGGGUGCUCUUAACCGAGUGUCUCUGAGUGCCGACAGGUUUACUUUGAAAAAAUUAGGGUGCUUCAAGCGGGCUGUUAUGCCUGAAUAUUUGUGCAUGGAAUAAUAGAAUAGGAUGUUGAUCUUAUUUUGUUGGUUUUCGAGACUCGACAUAAUGAUAAAUAGGGACAGUCGGGGGCAUUUGUAUUCAAACGACAGAGGUGAAAUUCUUGGACCGUUUGAAGACAAACUACUGCGAAAGCAUUUGCCAAGAAUGUUU